rnacentral:rRNA from 1 species
GAACGAGUUCUCGUUGAUGAUCGGUGCUUGCACCGAGAUUCAACAUGGAACGAGUGGCGGACGGGUGAGUAACACGUGGGUAACCUGCCCUUAAGUGGGGGAUAACAUUUGGAAACAGAUGCUAAUACCGCAUAGAUCCAAGAACCGCAUGGUUCUUGGCUGAAAGAUGGCGUAAGCUAUCGCUUUUGGAUGGACCCGCGGCGUAUUAGCUAGUUGGUGAGGUGAUGGCUCACCAAGGCGAUGAUACGUAGCCGAACUGAGAGGUUGAUCGGCCACAUUGGGACUGAGACACGGCCCAAACUCCUACGGGAGGCAGCAGUAGGGAAUCUUCCACAAUGGACGCAAGUCUGAUGGAGCAACGCCGCGUGAGUGAAGAAGGCUUUCGGGUCGUAAAACUCUGUUGUUGGAGAAGAAUGGUCGGCAGAGUAACUGUUGUCGGCGUGACGGUAUCCAACCAGAAAGCCACGGCUAACUACGUGCCAGCAGCCGCGGUAAUACGUAGGUGGCAAGCGUUAUCCGGAUUUAUUGGGCGUAAAGCGAGCGCAGGCGGUUUUUUAAGUCUGAUGUGAAAGCCCUCGGCUUAACCGAGGAAGCGCAUCGGAAACUGGGAAACUUGAGUGCAGAAGAGGACAGUGGAACUCCAUGUGUAGCGGUGAAAUGCGUAGAUAUAUGGAAGAACACCAGUGGCGAAGGCGGCUGUCUGGUCUGUAACUGACGCUGAGGCUCGAAAGCAUGGGUAGCGAACAGGAUUAGAUACCCUGGUAGUCCAUGCCGUAAACGAUGAAUGCUAGGUGUUGGAGGGUUUCCGCCCUUCAGUGCCGCAGCUAACGCAUUAAGCAUUCCGCC